rnacentral:rRNA from 1 species
AGUAGCGGCGAGCGAAACCGGAUUAGCCCUUAAGCUAGUUUUGCGUUAGGUGAAAGUUCUGGAAAGUUCUGCGAUACAGGGUGAUAGCCCCGUAACCGACAACGCAUUAUCAGUGAAAACGAGUAGGACGGGACACGUGAUAUCCUGUUUGAAUAUGGGGGGACCAUCCUCCAAGGCUAAAUACUCCUGACUGACCGAUAGUGAACCAGUACCGUGAGGGAAAGGCGAAAAGAACCCCUGUGAGGGGAGUGAAAUAGAACCUGAAACCGUGUACGUACAAGCAGUAGGAGCCCACUUGUUGGGUGACUGCGUACCUUUUGUAUAAUGGGUCAGCGACUUAAUUUUAGUAGCAAGGUUAACCGUUUAGGGGAGCCGUAGGGAAACCGAGUCUUAACUGGGCGAAAUAGUUGCUAGGAUUAGACCCGAAACCGAGUGAUCUAGCCAUGGGCAGGUUGAAGGUGAGGUAACACUUACUGGAGGACCGAACCGACUAAUGUUGAAAAAUUAGCGGAUGACUUGUGGCUAGGGGUGAAAGGCCAAUCAAACUCGGAGAUAGCUGGUUCUCCCCGAAAGCUAUUUAGGUAGCGCCUCGGACGAAUACUACUGGGGGUAGAGCACUGUUAAGGCUAGGGGGUCAUCCCGACUUACCAACCUUUGCAAACUCCGAAUACCAGUAAGUACUAUCCGGGAGACACACGGCGGGUGC